GCGACGGUGGUGCAACGGCUUAGCACAUGCUUCCGAGAAGAGUAAGAUCUGGGUUCCAAUCUCGGCUGACGCA